rnacentral:rRNA from 1 species
UACGUAGGUGGCAAGCGUUGUCCGGAUUUAUUGGGUUUAAAGGGUGCGUAGGCGGUUCUGUAAGUCAGUGGUGAAAUACUCUAGCUUAACUAGAGGGGUGCCAAUGAUACUGCAGAACUUGAGUACAGACGAGGUAGGCGGAAUUGACGGUGUAGCGGUGAAAUGCUUAGAUAUCGUCAAGAACACCGAUAGCGAAGGCAGCUUACUAGACUGUAACUGACGCUGAUGCACGAAAGUGUGGGGAUCAAACAGG